GCAAGAAUGAAACUCAAAGGAAUUGACGGGGGCCCGCACAAGCGGAGGAACAUGUGGUUUAAUUCGAUGGUACGCGAGGAACCUUACCUGGGCUUAAAUGUUUUGCAUCUUCGGAUGUAGUCUGUCGAAAGACAGCUUAGAAUGACAAGGUGCUGCAUGGUUGUCGUCAGCUCGUGCCGUGAGGUGUCGGGUUAAGUCCCAUAACGAGCGCAACCCUUAUUCUUAGUUGCCAUCAGGUAAUGCUGGGCACUCUAGGAAAACUGCCAUCGUAAGAUGUGAGGAAGGUGGGGAUGACGUCAAAUCAGCACGGCCCUUAUGUCCAGGGCUACACACGUGUUACAAUGGUCGGUACAAAAGGUCGCAACCUAGUGAUAGGAAGCUAAUCCCCAAAACCGGCCCCAGUUCGGAUUGGAGUCUGCAAUUCGACUCCAUGAAGCAGGAUUCGCUAGUAAUCGCGUAUCAGCAACGACGCGAUGAAUACGUUCCCGGGCCUUGUACACACCGCCCGUCAAGCCAUGGAAGCUGGGUGCACCCGAAGUCCGUAACCGCAAGGAGCGGCCGAAGGUGAAACCGGUAACUGGGGCUAA
rnacentral:rRNA from 1 species